rnacentral:tRNA from 1 species
GCCGAUGUAGUUCAACGGUAGAACACGCCCUUGGUAAGGGCGAAAAAUGAGUUCAACUCUCAUCAUCGGCU